ACGAACGCUGGCGGCGUGCCUAAUACAUGCAAGUCGAACGAAACUUUCUUACACCGAAUGCUUGCAUUCACCGUAAGAAGUUGAGUGGCGGACGGGUGAGUAACACGUGGGUAACCUGCCUAAAAGAAGGGGAUAACACUUGGAAACAGGUGCUAAUACCGUAUAUCUCUAAGGAUCGCAUGAUCCUUAGAUGAAAGAUGGUUCUGCUAUCGCUUUUAGAUGGACCCGCGGCGUAUUAACUAGUUGGUGGGGUAACGGCCUACCAAGGUGAUGAUACGUAGCCGAACUGAGAGGUUGAUCGGCCACAUUGGGACUGAGACACGGCCCAAACUCCUACGGGAGGCAGCAGUAGGGAAUCUUCCACAAUGGACGCAAGUCUGAUGGAGCAACGCCGCGUGAGUGAAGAAGGUCUUCGGAUCGUAAAACUCUGUUGUUAGAGAAGAACACGAGUGAGAGUAACUGUUCAUUCGAUGACGGUAUCUAACCAGCAAGUCACGGCUAACUACGUGCCAGCAGCCGCGGUAAUACGUAGGUGGCAAGCGUUGUCCGGAUUUAUUGGGCGUAAAGGGAACGCAGGCGGUCUUUUAAGUCUGAUGUGAAAGCCUUCGGCUUAACCGGAGUAGUGCAUUGGAAACUGGAAGACUUGAGUGCAGAAGAGGAGAGUGGAACUCCAUGUGUAGCGGUGAAAUGCGUAGAUAUAUGGAAGAACACCAGUGGCGAAAGCGGCUCUCUGGUCUGUAACUGACGCUGAGGUUCGAAAGCGUGGGUAGCAAACAGGAUUAGAUACCCUGGUAGUCCACGCCGUAAACGAUGAAUGCUAGGUGUUGGAGGGUUUCCGCCCUUCAGUGCCGCAGCUAACGCAAUAAGCAUUCCGCCUUGGACGUACGACCGCUAGGUUGAUACUCAAAGGAAUUGACGGGGGCCCGCACAAGCGGUGGAGCAUGUGGUUUAAUUCGAAGCAACGCGAAGAACCUUACCAGGUCUUGACAUCCUUUGACCACCUAAGAGAUUAGGCUUUCCCUUCGGGGACAAAGUGACAGGUGGUGCAUGGUUGUCGUCAGCUCGUGUCGUGAGAUGUUGGGUUAAGUCCCGCAACGAGCGCAACCCUUGUUGUCAGUUGCCAGCAUUAAGUUGGGCACUCUGGCGAGACUGCCGGUGACAAACCGGAGGAAGGUGGGGACGACGUCAAAUCAUCAUGCCCCUUAUGACCUGGGCUACACACGUGCUACAAUGGACGGUACAACGAGUCGCGAGACCGCGAGGUUUAGCUAAUCUCUUAAAGCCGUUCUCAGUUCGGAUUGUAGGCUGCAACUCGCCUACAUGAAGUCGGAAUCGCUAGUAAUCGCGAAUCAGCAUGUCGCGGUGAAUACGUUCCCGGGCCUUGUACACACCGCCCGUCACACCAUGAGAGUUUGUAACACCCAAAGCCGGUGGGGUAACCGCAAGGAGCCAGCCGUCUAAGGUGGGACAGAUGAUUGGGGUG
rnacentral:rRNA from 1 species